ACAGAAUCCUGACUCAUAAAGGACACAUCAAAAGAACAAGAUUUGUUCUUCCCAUCUACAGAGAUUACAGAAGCAUUGUGAGAGGUCAGAUCUUCAGCUGCUUGUAACCAGACCUGUCUAGUCAAUUGCUGUCGGGACAAGACUCAUGCUCUCAGACCCCAUCUCCUGCUUCCGUCUGCAGUGCAGGCCUCCGUCCUGCUGCGGGCGGCCCCGAGCUGGAGGGAAGCCAUGGUGCUGUGCUGCAUGCGGCACUGCGUCUGCGAACAGGCUGUGCUGGAAGGUGUGCUUCCCAGCUGAUGGGACAUCGCUUCCACCAGACCCAGCUGCCCGUCCCCUCUGCUGGCGAAGGUGGUAUGACAUAUCCCUUGUGACCUGGAGGCCCUGCAUUGCCCUGCUGAGCAGCAAAAAUACUGACCAGAUUACACUGCUAUGGUCCCUUUCCCACUCUACUGAGUUUUGUGGCUGAUUCUGGUCAAACUCCUUGCACCAAGUCCCCACACUGUUGCUGUUAUUUCAGUGUGCAGCCAACUCUUUGCAUCACCUGUGCUUCUACAAGGGGUGAUACUGGAAAUGGCAGAUGUAAGAACCAAGGAUAACUUGAGAAGGAGCUAAGAUGUCAGAGAAUGGUGGUCAGACAAUAUUAAAAACACUUUCUAUGCACAUUCCUUUAUUCUCUAAGGCAAAUAUGAAGCCCUAGCAGUAAAAUGGGAAGAAUCAGCAGUAGCACAGAGGUGUGUGCCAGCAACAGAGCAAUUGUCAUCUACACAUCAGAUGCUUAAAAUGCCACAUGCAACAAUGCAGAGCACAAUGCAGAGGGCUCACUGCUAAGCUUUUUCACAGUUCACUGCCACUGAAAGGAGCAGCAAAAAUGCUGGGGAAAAUGUUGACAACUGGAAUCACAGCUUCUGUUUUACAGCCCAGGGAUUCUGGCUUGCAAAACAAGCACAAAAUUCCAACCAACAAUUCAAACCAUUUAGAAGUUCAGUACAGCAUCCAUACCAAAAAUUAUAUGGGCCGAUCUGCUUGGAAUUUAGCUAAGUGAAAUAGAGAUUUGAUUCCAAAAGCACAGAUAUGAGCUGAAGCUUUUUCUGUACAAGCUUCUUUCACAGCUAUUCAUCAGGCAGUAACCCAUGGGCAUCUCCACCCCACACAGCUGGGCACAGACCACAGGCAGGGCAGUAAGAUGUGCCUCCAUCACAAAACAUGGGGAUGCGAGAAGGUGCUGGCUCCUGUCCCAGCUGGAACACAGAUGGCUUUAUGUGGGGCUGCACCCAAACUAAAAAUCCCUUUUUUGAAGCAAGGCCAAUUAGUAAUUAUAUUGCAUCCGGCUCUGGAAAUAGGUAGCUCAGGGCAGUUUGCCUCUGUGCUUCACUGCUGGGCGUAGACGUGACUAAAACUGCAGCACAGUGCUGAAGAGACUGUGACUCUCAUGCUGCUUUUUAAAGUCACCUUUGAAAAUCAUGAUGGGUGUGUGGGGGAUCUUUCAGCUUAUUUAGUUUUCCACUGAAAUAUAGUGCUUGAGGUCCUUCAGCUCAUCACAUCAUUCCUGUACCAUAUGAGUCAUACAACUUCCUGUCUAGGAACCAGGCAGAGCUCUUCUGAUUUCAGAGUCCCAACAUGACAGGCAAGCAUGUAAGUAGGCUGCAGUAGUGACUGCAAGAAGGAUCAUGGCCACCCAGGCAGGAGUUGAGGAGCAAGGCAUCAUGCUCUGUGUUCCUUCUUUUGUGAGAUUAGAGAAUGCCUCAGCUCAUUACACUACAAAACACCCUCAAGCAGAAAGUGACAUGGUUUCAACUUUUGUUUUGGGCCUCUGUACUCUUUCCCUCCCUCAGUUUCCCCAUUUUUAAUUUGUUCCUGACUGCCCUAUGGCAGCUGCACUUCUAAACCAGUGGUGCUCAGCCCAGUGUUGCAAUUUGCUCUGCAUCAGUUUGGGGGCCCUGUCACAGCCCCCCAGGCUAAUGGCUGAUGAUAUCUGUUCCUUCUCCAGAGUAAUGCUGGUGGGAGUGGACUUUGGCUGUCAAGUCUCCUGUUACUGCCUGAAGUUUUGCACUGCCUUCACUGUAUUCAAACUGAGGCGUCUGAUUAUAUGAAAUGUACUCACACUUAAUUCCUGCAUGGUCUUUUCUGCUGUUAACUUUUGGUUCAAGAGAAUAAUAUGUGUAAAAAUGCACUCAGCUUUUUACCAGCAGAGCUAGAAUACUCAUAGUGUAAUUACUUAGAGAUGCUAUUUUCAACCACUGUACAUUGCUUUCACUGGUAAAAUGGCAAAAUGAUCUUGAUUUGAACAUCACAGUUACUGCUGACACAACACUGGCUUUGCUCCACAGGUUUUGAUGACUUAUCCUCAUGACAAUUAUUUUGGGAUUGUUUCGUUCAACAGUUUUUGAUGAUGAAUUUCUGGUUGUUUCUGAAUAGCUUACUGCUGGGAGUUCUUCACUCACUGCUUUUGAAAUUCCUGUUUCUAUUGUGGAAGUUGUUGGGAGUGGAGUUUUCUCCUUCCUGGAUGGGAUUCUCCUCUAGCUCAGCAAUGCUCCUAAUCCCAUGUUUCUGACAUCAGUUGCCAUGGGAAUGUCUGAGCACUGCACACUCAAUGACCUGAUUUUUCUGCAGAAACCAUAUGAGAAAGAGGAUGAAAUCAGAGGGAGCUCCGUCAUUCAUAUGAUGUACAAAAUACAAAUUUAUGUGGCAAACGGCCACAGCUGCAAAAGCUGGGCAGCCUGAAGUGAUUUUUUGUGUUUAAGGUGUAAGGCUUGAAGCAGAGGAAGACUCUUCUUCUGUGUCUCCUAAACUCCUAGCUCUUGUUCUUAGUCUGAACUAGAUAGUCUGACAGUCCAGGCACAAUGCUGCUGGGUCCUUCUCUUCACAGAUAUACGUUGUUUAGGUUUGAGGUUGCUGUUGUUCAUGACACUUCCAUGCUUUUUUGAAAUCUGGAUAGUUGAAUGAGGCAUCAACACAGGAUUUAGAUUUGUUUCUUCUCUUUUACCUCUAGAUGUUUCAUGGUUUUAAUUUGCUAGCAAAAAAGAAAUCCCUAGCCCUUGGAAUGUUUCCUUCUAAUCAGAUUGCACUUUACCUUAAUUUCAGCAACACUUGUGUUUCCACUGAAAUGAAAAUACAAAAUAAUGUCCUCUGAUUUUUUAGAUAAUUCCUUUCAUCCUCUACUUAGCUGUCUUCUGAAAAUCUCGACCUGUCAUCUAAAGAGAACUAUUUGUGCUGAAACCUGUGCUGUUAGAAAGGAAUUUCCUUUGUUCAAACACAAUGAAUUCAUUGACUGUGCAGAAAUGAAAACUACUGCAAUUUAGUCACAUUUCAUACAGUUAAUUUAUAGAAAGAUUUUUAGUCAUAUGUCAUUUGUAUGUACCUGAUGAUGGUGGAGCUGAUUGGUUAUUACAAUUUCCCGAUUCACAAUGCAAGCAAACGUGCUAUCUUUGAUGGAAUUUUACAUUAUUGUCCCACUUUUGAGAAAUAUUCUGCCCGUGGAAAAGGGCAGAUAUGCUAGCUCCUUACUUUUAACUCUCUUACUGUGAUCAGUGGGUUCUUAUUUGGCACUGGUAUGAGCUGAAACUACUGAGAAGAAAAGGAAAGCCCCCUGCUCUUUGUAGCCACCAGAAUUCAAGCAGUGGAGUACAUGGCCUGAUGUAAUCUAGUUCUGUAAAAUAUGCUCAGAUCUGGUAAAAAAUCACUUUUCCUUUAGUGAGAAGCUAACUUGCAAAAUCUGCUUUCAUUUUGUAGGUCAGCCUACUCUGCUAUAUGAAUUAAAUGUGCAACUUCUUUGAUGACAGCAUUUUGUUUAAGCUGGUGAAUGACUCUAUGCCUUGCCAAUUUAUGACACUAUUUCCCUCUGGGCAUCCCUUUUGGCUUAUCUGUUACUGCCAAGAUAUGUGAAUUCAAUCAUCUGGUAGUAGUUGAGUUGCACAUCUCACUCCAAUAAAUGGCUGAUGGUCAAGCUGACUCA
rnacentral:lncRNA from 1 species